GAGGAAAGAGCUUCCAGGUGGCCCCAAAG
rnacentral:piRNA from 1 species